rnacentral:rRNA from 1 species
ACACGUAAGCCUCGAGCGUUGUUCGGAAUUAUUGGGAGUAAAGGGUAUGUAGGCGGAGCUGAAAGCCUGUCGUGAAAUGCAGAAGCUUAACUUCUGAGCUGCGAUGGGAACUUCAGUUCUGGAAUCACUGAAGGGCAGCCGGACUUCCAGGUGUAGGGGUGAAAUCUGUAGAUAUCUGGAAGAACACCGAUGGCGAAGGCAGGCUGGUGGCAGAUGAUUGACGCUGAGGUACGAAAGUGCAGGUAGCGAACAGGAUUAGAUACCCUGGUAGUCCGCACAGUAAACGAUGCACACUAGGUGUGGGGGCAGAAGUCUCUAUGCCGGAGCGAACGUGAUAAGUGUGCCGCCUGGGAAGUAUGCCCGCAAGGGUGAAACUCGAAGGAAAUGACGGGG